GUGUAGCAAAAACGAAGAGGCGGUUAGCUCUCCCCUUGACAAGGACGGAAGAGAUUGAUUGAUCUUUUUCAUUCAUAUGGGCAUUGCUCUACACUUGGAAUAUUACAUAAAAUAUUCU